UGGGGAAUAUUGGACAAUGGGCGCAAGCCUGAUCCAGCAAUGCCGCGUGUGUGAAGAAGGCCUUCGGGUUGUAAAGCACUUUUAUCAGGAGCGAAACGCUGUCGGCUAAUACCCGGCGGAACUGACGGUACCUGAGGAAUAAGCACCGGCUAACUUCGUGCCAGCAGCCGCGGUAAUACGAAGGGUGCAAGCGUUAAUCGGAAUUACUGGGCGUAAAGCGUGCGUAGGCGGUUUCUUAAGUCUGCUGUGAAAUCCCCGGGCUCAACCUGGGAAUGGCAGUGGAUACUGGGAGGCUAGAGUGUGUCAGAGGGUGGUGGAAUUCCCGGUGUAGCGGUGAAAUGCGUAGAGAUCGGGAGGAACAUCAGCGGCGAAGGCGGCCACCUGGGACAACACUGACGCUGAGGCACGAAAGCGUGGGGAGCAAACAGGAUUAGAUACCCUGGUAGUCCACGCCCUAAACGAUGCGAACUGGAUGUUGGUCUCAACUCGGAGAUCAGUGUCGAAGCUAACGCGUUAAGUUCGCCGCCUGGGGAGUACGGUCGCAAGACUGAAACUCAAAGGAAUUGACGGGGUCAUAGCUGUUUCC
rnacentral:rRNA from 1 species